GAAAAACAAUAAUCAAAGCAAUCUUUUAUUCAAAACCAAAUAUCCCACAAUUGUCGACCCUAUACUUUUAGGGUGAGUAUCGUAGCUCAAUUCUUACAUCCCAACUAAAAACUCUAAAGAUUUAGCUACUCAUGUUUCUAGGAGAAGAGAAGACUCAAAAAGACCUAACCACCAUCUUGUUGAAGAGAUAACGAAUCAGACUCGCUCCAGUCUUUGCUUUUGGCCUUCUAACUUCAAUCCUAACUUCGAUCUUCAAUGGCAACUCCUUCGGAUCUUCAAUCGGACUUCUAUGGAUGGAAAUAUGA
rnacentral:lncRNA from 1 species